rnacentral:lncRNA from 1 species
ACAAUAUGAACCCAAACAGUUUUUGGAAGCUGAUUUACAUAUUAAUGUAGUGUAAGAGUGUGUGUGUGCAUCCAGAUGCUGGAUUUCGUGUGACUUUGGCCUAGACUGUUACAGUUCUGCAGAUUUCCUGCCGUGUUAUGUAAUCUGAGGACAUUGGGUUUUUUCCUGCACUUUUUUUUUCCCCCUUCCUUGAGCAGCGCAGCUCGUCUUCCAAAACUUCCUGUUUUCUCAGUGGCCCACUGAACCCUUUCCCAGAGACAGGAUGAGAGGCGCUCAGCUGGAAGAUCCACAGUGACUCACAGAGAGCUGGUUUUCCCCCAAUUCCCCGGAGUAUUACUCGGCCUUUCUGCAAUUGGUGUGGGUGUGGACAGGGCAGGUGGAGGUGACGACGGUUGGGGAAUAUAACCACACUUCAUUACAGCCCAGUGCCAAGAUUUCCCUCGAACAAUAGAAAAAGGAUACGCACAACAACUACAUUGUUACCUAGACUGGGAGUUAUGGGAGUGUACUGAUAAAGCAGGCUAAUCAAACGGAGUUAAAUGAGACAGACGCACACUUCCAUCAACCCCUAAGGGCCCCUGUUGUAAAACACAGCCGGUAACUGUCACAGGGUCCAUGCCCUCCAGAUAGAAAAUCUCACACUUUACUUCCCUCUAUUCCUUGUUUUUCCCUUGAUGUCAGGGGUGGAACGACCUGGUUCAUGUUGGGCCGGUUUGUUCACCUGCCAACGGACUAGCUAAUCCUGAAUCUACCUGGAAAACACUCAAAAAUACAUAGCUCCCAGUCCAACAGGCGUCAUCUUCAGGAAGGAUGAUACAGCUUUCUCAGAGUCUCGAUGUACAGAUGUGAGAUGAUGGACUGCCUGCAUCUGUACUGGGUCAGCACUGGACGUGUGUAGACAUGUCAGCUCGGUUUAUGACAGGAUAAUCAGUCACUGAUAAAAUAUUUAUUUUCAGAUGGAUGAGAGUCUUGAAUGUACAAAGGGCUGCAAUAAACAUUUAAUCCACCUAUGAAUAAUGCAGUGCCGAUGACUAGUGAGCUUUAGUUUGUUCGAUUGUAAUUAC